rnacentral:rRNA from 1 species
CAGUAAGAGUUUGAUCAUGGCUCAGAUUGAACGCUGGCGGCGUGCUUAACACAUGCAAGUCGAGCGGUAACAGGCGUAGCAAUACGUGCUGACGAGCGGCGAACGGGUGCGUAAUACGAUGGGAAUCUGCCCUUUGGUGGGGAAUAACCCGGCGAAAGCCGGGCUAAUGCCGCAUGAGAUCUUCGGAUGAAAGCGGGGGAUCGUAAGACCUCGCGCCGAUGGAUGAGCCCAUGUCGGAUUAGCUAGUUGGUGAGGUAACGGCUCACCAAGGCGACGAUCCGUAGCUGGUCUGAGAGGACGGCCAGCCACACUGGGACUGAGACACGGCCCAGACUCCUACGGGAGGCAGCAGUGGGGAAUAUUGGACAAUGGGCGAAAGCCUGAUCCAGCGACGCCGCGUGUGUGAUGAAGGCCUUAGGGUUGUAAAGCUCUUUUGUCGGGGACGAUAAUGACGGUACCCGAAGAAUAAGCUCCGGCUAACUUCGUGCCAGCCGCCGCGGUAAUUC